UACGGAGGGUGCGAGCGUUGUCCGGAAUCACUGGGCGUAAAGGGCGCGUAGGCGGCCACCGCAAGUCGACUGUGAAAUCUCCGGGCUUAACCCGGAAAGGUCAGCCGAUACUGCGGGGCUAGAGUGCAGAAGGGGCAACUGGAAUUCUCGGUGUAGCGGUGAAAUGCGUAGAUAUCGAGAGGAACACCUGCGGCGAAGGCGGGUUGCUGGGCUGACACUGACGCUGAAGCGCGAAAGCUAGGGGAGCGAACGGG
rnacentral:rRNA from 1 species